AUUGAACGCUGGCGGCAUGCCUAACACAUGCAAGUCGAACGGACGCACGGACUUCGGUCUGGUGUCGAGUGGCGAACGGGUGAGUAAUUCAUAGGAACGUACCCUGUCGUGGGGGAUAACUUGACGAAAGAUUAGCUAAUACCGCAUACGACCUGAGGGUGAAAGUGGGGGAUCGGAAAUGGCCUCCUGAUCCGGUUGCGCUUGAUGUUUGAUUAGCUAGUUGGUGGGGUAAUGGUACACCAAGGCGACGAUCAGUCGCUGGUCUGAGAGGACGAUCAGCCACACUGGGACUGAGACACGGCCCAGACUCCUACGGGAGGCAGCAGUGGGGAAUUUUGGACAAUGGGGGCAAGCCUGAUCCAGCAAUGCCGCGUGUGUGAAGAAGGUCUUCGGAUUGUAAAGCACUUUUGUCCGGGAAGAAAACACGCGGGUUAAUACCUGGCGGGUUUGACGUUACCGAAAGAAUAAGCACCGGCUAACUACGUG
rnacentral:rRNA from 1 species